UGUCUUCUAAGGAGAAAAAUCCUGAUCUUAUUCUUACAUUGCCCUGAAGCCCAUAGGAAAUUCAGGAAAGGCUGCCAGUAAUAUGAAAUGUGAAAGAUAUUAUCUCUUUCCAUCUGUCUCUGGGUUUCUCCCCAGUCUUAGAUAUAUGGAAUAGACAACAUGUCAGAGGGAAUCUGCAACACUCUGUGGAACUGCCCCAGCUGAGAACUUGCAUACUAGUGAUAAACAAGAUUCAGCUGGGAAGAAAACACCCUCUGUAACACCAUCAAGUGAGAAGGCUGUGGGCUCUGGACUUUACUAGCCUAUAAACCUCCUGCUUUUAAUUCUCCUGAGGAAAAAGCUUUAUACAUUUUUGAAGCCACAGGCACCCAACCAGAGAUUCUGGUGACUUGACAGAGUUGAAUUCUGAAGGUCCACUCAGUUGUGUUAGCUCUAGCAUGGCCUUGCUUGCUUGGAAACAAUGACACUGUGAAGACCAUCAGGAAGGUGUGACUUGUACUGUGAUAAAGCUACAUUAAUUAAAGUUAUGUUUCAUGACUAGAGACUAAUCCUGGAAAUGACUAGUAAUAACAUUGCAUUUAAUUUUGUGGUGUGAAAUUCAUUGUAUGUAUUUGAAAAACUGGUAUGCUAAUUACAUAUAUUAAAGUAGAUUACUGAGAAAGCAGA